rnacentral:lncRNA from 1 species
AGUGGCAAGAGGAUAACUCUGAUGUAAAAGGUGAAGGUGCAUCAUAAAAUGAUUUCGAUGAGAUUUUAUUUAGAAAUUAAUUUAAUUGAUAAUUAUAUGUUAUUCUCCUAUCUUUGGGCGUCUAUAUAAAAGAUUGGAUUGCCAAUUAUGUAAUCGGCUAACUUAUUGAAUAGCAAAUCAGUGGAAUAAUAUUAUCUGGCUAAACUGAUUGCCUUACCCUAACAACUUAUUCCACAUAAAGAACUAUACCUUAAACCCUACAAGCUAAUCCCUAAGCUUUUGAAGAAUCAAAAAGCCCAAAUCAGUAAACCAUAAACACUAAACCCUAUCCCUAAUUCCUAAACCCUAAACACUUAUAGGACUUGUAAACCCUUACCCUAAACCCUAACCCAUACAAUCUAAAGCCAAACCCCCAAAUCCUAAACCCUUAACCCUUAUAGGAUUCCGAAACCCUAAAUGUAAACCUAGAAACCCUAAACCCUAACGCAUAUGGGGCUAAUCAUACAGUAUAUGAUGUCGUCCGAUUAUUAGCCGUCUAGAGUUUAACAUAGAUGUACAAUGUCGUUAUUAUAUUGAUAACUAUAGUGUUAGCUGUUUAAAUUAUUUUAUCAACCAUUACACCAAACCCUAAAACCAUAUGCCUAUAUCAUAACCCCCACUCCCUAUACCCUUAAAGUUCAACAUAGCUGUGCAACUAUGAUCCUUCCUAAUAAUCUAGUAUAUAAUAUACGGCUAGAGUUUGAGAUAGAUGUGUAAUAUAUUCAUUAUCUUGA